rnacentral:rRNA from 1 species
UACGUAGGGUGCGAGCGUUAAUCGGAAUUACUGGGCGUAAAGCGUGCGCAGGCGGUUUUGCAAGCCAGAUGUGAAAUCCCCGGGCUUAACCUGGGAAUGGCAUUUGGGACUGCAAGGCUUGAGUGCGGCAGAGGAGACUAGAAUUCCUGGUGUAGCAGUGAAAUGCGUAGAUAUCAGGAGGAAUACCGAUGGCGAAGGCAGGUCUCUGGGCUGACACUGACGCUCAUGCACGAAAGCGUGGGGAGCAAACAGG